GGGGGGGCAAGCGUUGUUCGGAAUUACUGGGCGUAAAGAGCUCGUAGGCGGCCUGUUUAGUCGGACGUGAAAUCCCUCGGCUCAACCGAGGAACUGCGUCCGAUACUGGCAGGCUUGAAUCCGGGAGAGGGAUGCGGAAUUCCAGGUGUAGCGGUGAAAUGCGUAGAUAUCUGGAGGAACACCGGUGGCGAAGGCGGCAUCCUGGACCGGCAUUGACGCUGAGGAGCGAAAGCCAGGGUAGCAAACGGGGAUUAGAUACCCCGGUAGUCCUGGCCCUAAACGAUGAAUGCUUGGUGUGGCGGGUAUCGAUCCCCUGCUGUGCCGAAGCUAACGCAUUAAGCAUUCCGCCUGGGGAGUACGGUCGCAAGGCUG
rnacentral:rRNA from 1 species